UACAGAGGUCCCAAGCGUUGUUCGGAUUCACUGGGCGUAAAGGGUGCGUAGGUGGCUUGGUAAGUUUGAUGUGAAAUCUCCGGGCUUAACCCGGAAAUGGCAUUGAAUACUAUUGAGCUGGAGGUUUGGAGGGGGGGACUGGAAUUCUCGGUGUAGCAGUGAAAUGCGUAGAUAUCAAGUGGAACACCAGUGGCGAAGGCGAGUCCCUGGACACUUCCUGACACUGAGGCACGAAAGCUAGGGGAGCAAACAGG
rnacentral:rRNA from 1 species